rnacentral:rRNA from 1 species
GUGCCAGCAGCUGCGGUUAAACAAAGAAUACAAAUAAAUUUUAUAAAUAUAAAAGUUAAAUUGAAUUUAUUUAAUUAAUAAAAGAAAAUUAGGUGAAAUUUUAUUUUUUUUUAAUUAAUAUAAAAAAUUGUAUUGAAUCUUGAAAAUUUUAUUUUUAAACUAGGAUUAGAUACCCUAUUAUUUAAUUAUUUAUUAAUAAAAGAUUAGAGUAGUAAUAGUUAUGGUCUUGAAACUCAAAAAAUUUGGCGGUAUUUUAGUCUAUUCAGAGGAACCUGUAAUGUAAUCGAUAAUCCACGAUGGAUCUUACUUAAUUUUGUAAUUUAAUUUGUAUAUCGCCGUUAUUUGAAAAUUUUAUAAGAAAAAUAAUUUUCUAAAAUUUUUAUUAAAAAAUAAAUCAGGUCAAGGUGCAGUUUAUAAUUAAGUUUUAUAUGGGUUACAAUAAAUUUAUUUAAACGAAUUAGAAAAUGAAAUAUUUUUAAGAAGGUGGAUUUGAUAGUAAAUUUUUAAAGAUAGAAAAAUUGAUUUUAGCUCUAAAAUAUGUACACAUCGCCCGUCGCUCUUGUUAAUAAUAUAAGAUAAGUCGUAACAUAG